rnacentral:rRNA from 1 species
UACGUAGGGCGCAAGCGUUAUCCGGAAUUAUUGGGCGUAAAGAGCUCGUAGGCGGUUUGUCGCGUCUGCCGUGAAAGUCCGGGGCUCAACUCCGGAUCUGCGGUGGGUACGGGCAGACUAGAGUGAUGUAGGGGAGACUGGAAUUCCUGGUGUAGCGGUGAAAUGCGCAGAUAUCAGGAGGAACACCGAUGGCGAAGGCAGGUCUCGUGGGCAUUAACUGACGCUGAGGAGCGGAAAGCAUGGGGAGCGAACAGG